rnacentral:tRNA from 1 species
GGGGAGAUACCAAAGCGGCCAACUGGGGCGGACUGUAACUCCGCUGUCUUUCGACUUCGUAGGUUCGAAUCCUGCUCUCCCCA